rnacentral:rRNA from 1 species
AAAGAAAGUAAGCAAGGGCGCAUGGCGGAUGCCUUGGCUCUCGGAGGCGAUGAAGGACGUGAUAAGCUGCGAUAAGCUUCGGGCAGGUGCAAAUAACCUUUGAUCCGAAGAUUUCCGAAUGGGACAACCCGUCAUUCUGAAGGAAUGACAUCUUGCAUAGCAAGAGGCUAACGCAGGGAACUGAAACAUCUUAGUACCUGUAGGAAAAGAAAAUAAUAAUGAUUCCCCUAGUAGUGGCGAGCGAACGGGGAUUAGCCCAAACCAAUGUUGUUACGGCAAUAUUGGGGUUGUAGGACCACGAUGUCGCAAGAAAUUUAGUGAGAAGAACCCUUUGGAAAAUGGGACCAUAGACGGUGAUAGUCCGGUAUUCGAAGCUAAAUGAAGCGUAGUGGUAUCCUGAGUAGCGCGGGACACGAGGAAUCUUGCGUGAAUCUGCCGGGACCAUCCGGUAAGGCUAAAUACUCCCGAGAGACCGAUAGCGAACCAGUACUGUGAAGGAAAGGUGAAAAGCACUUCGAAUAGAAGAGUGAAAUAGUCCCUGAAACCGUGCGCCUACAAGCGGUCGGAGCUGCUUCAGCAGUGACGGCGUGCCUUUUGCAUAAUGAACCUACGAGUUACUUUUUCCGGCAAGGUUAAGGAUCUUGAGAUCCGCAGCCGAAGCGAAAGCGAGUCUUAACAGGGCGAUUAGUCGGAAGGAGUAGACGCGAAACCAAGUGAUCUACCCUUGGUCAGGUUGAAGGUUAGGUAACACUAACUGGAGGACCGAACCGAUAAGCGUUGAAAAGCUUCCGGAUGAACUGAGGGUGGGGGUGAAAGGCUAAUCAAACUUGGAGAUAGCUCGUACUCCCCGAAAUGCAUUUAGGUGCAGCCUUGGGAAUUACUACUGUGAGGUAGAGCGACUGAUAAGAUGCGAGGGCUUCACCGCCUAUCAAGUCUUGAUAAACUCCGAAUGCGCAGUAGUUCGAUCCCAGGAGUGAGGGCAUGGGUGCUAAGGUCCAUGUCCUAAAGGAGAAGAAUCCGGACCAUCAGCUAAGGUCCCGAAAUAAUUGCUAAGUUGAACUAACGAAGUCAGAUUGCUAAGACAGCUAGGAUGUUGGCUUGGAAGCAGCCAUUCAUUUAAAGAGUGCGUAACAGCUCACUAGUCGAGGAGUUUGGCGUGGAUAAUAAUCGGGCAUUAAGCAAUUUACCGAAGCUAUGGGAUCCGUAAGGAUCGGUAGGGGAGCAUUCCACUCUGCGUCGAAGGUGAAGCGUGAGCUUUGCUGGAGCGUGUGGAAAAGCAAAUGUAGGUAUAAGUAACGAUAAAGGGGGUGAGAAACCCCCUCGCCGAAAGACUAAGGUUUCCUGAUCAACGCUAAUCGGAUCAGGGUUAGUCGGGUCCUAAGGCUCAGCCGAACGGUGAGGCCGAUGGCAGAACAGGUUAAUAUUCCUGUACUACCUUAAGGAGUGACGUGGAGACGGAGGAGUGACAGCGCCGCGGACUGACGGAAUAGUCCGUUGAAGGGUGUAGAUGUUGAUUAUCCCAGGCAAAUCCGGGAUAAGAGUCGAACCUGAUAGUAUACCAAAUUCUUCGGAAUAAGGUAAUAGUGCGUGUAAGCAUACUCCCAAGAAAAUCCGCUAAACUUAAUCUUUAAGGUACCCGUACCGCAAACGGACACACGUAGUCGGGUUGAAUAUACUAAGGCGCUUGAGUGAUUCACGGUUAAGGAACUAGGCAAAUUGACCCUGUAACUUCGGGAUAAAGGGUCCCAACGAGAGUUGGGCGCAGAGAAUAGGUCCAGGCAACUGUUUAACAAAAACACAGGGCUGUGCCAAAUUGAAAGAUUACGUAUACAGCC